GAAUAUGAUAUGAAUCAUAUGAUGAUAACUUCUUACUACUGAGUAUGAGUUGAUGUUUUUACUUCUUUUUUUUUUUUUUUUCCAUUCCUGAUUGGAUCAAAAUCUUAAACCCUGUGGCAGAUUGAGGAUGAGCUCUUAAGAUCUUUAAAAGAUCACGAUGAAUCUGUUAGAAAGGAAGGGGUACAACUGCAGCCUGAUCAAGAUAACACACAAUAAAAGUCAAAAUCAAAGUCAAAGUCAAAAUCACAGUCACAGCAGCAAGGCACAGAUUAGCAGCUAGCUUUUUGGAUGACAUUAUUUUUAAUCUCAAGUGUCUGUGUGUGUGUGUGUGUGUUGUUAAGCUAUAUGUAUUUGUUUGUAGAGUAUAUAUAAUUAUAUGUAAAUGUAAUAUGAUGAGGUUUUUCAUUUUAUGUUUUGGCAACUUAAAAAAGCUUGGAAUUUAAAGCAUGUGUUUGGGUGAUUUUAAAGGAA